GAUGAACGCUGGCGGCGUGCCUAAUACAUGCAAGUCGAGCGAACAGAUGAGGAGCUUGCUCCUCUGACGUUAGCGGCGGACGGGUGAGUAACACGUGGAUAACCUACCUAUAAGACUGGUAUAACUUCGGGAAACCGGAGCUAAUACCGGAUAAUAUAUUGAGCCGCAUGGUUCAAUAGUGAAAUACGGUUUUGCUGUCACUUAUAGAUGGAUCCGCGCCGCAUUAGCUAGUUGGUAAGGUAACGGCUUACCAAGGCAACGAUGCGUAGCCGACCUGAGAGGGUGAUCGGCCACACUGGAACUGAGACACGGUCCAGACUCCUACGGGAGGCAGCAGUAGGGAAUCUGCCGCAAUGGGCGAAAGCCUGACGGAGCAACGCCGCGUGAGUGAUGAAGGUCUUCGGAUCGUAAAACUCUGUUAUGAGGGAAGAACAAAUGUGUAAGUAACUAUGCACGUCUUGACGGUACCUAGUCAGAAAGCCACGGCUAACUACGUG
rnacentral:rRNA from 1 species